CAUGAGGGUGAGUAAUUAAUGACAGAAAUUUCAUUUUUGGGUGAACUAACCCUUUAAAUAUGACUAUAAAAAUUUCUGUUUUAUAGAAUAACAUGCGCACUGAUGAAUCAUGCACAAUCAUAUGACCGUUAUCAUAGGCGUUUAUUUGACAACGUAAACAAUAUUGAUUUCAUCUUGUCUUUAAAAAGAACACCUGAGAAAAUAUAGAGCGAUUUUACUAAAUCCUAUUGCUGUUCUCUACCAUUUCUUGCACAUUAGCCUAGAGCUUCAGAUUCUAGUUUUCUGUGGUUUUUUGCAGAGUUGUGAGUGUAUAUAGUCAACAAGGAACUAUUUAGCUCCAGAAUGCUCGAGGAGAAGCCCUGAUUGAAUCAGCAUGAUUGGAGCUAUUAUCAUGUUUCCUGUGCAGACCAUGUGACGGGAGAGACGUGGCUUUUGAUGUGAGCCAGUUUGGAAGCCUAUGGCUGAUGCGAACAAGCAUACAGUUAUCAAAGCAGGACAAAAUGAUGCAGAUUCCCUCCAUUCCAUCUGGUGUUUAAAUGUUCAGUGUAUAGGAAUCUACGUGUAAUGCAGUGGGCAGCAUUUGAUGUAAAGGCUUAGCGUGCAAGCGUGUUUGUGGAUGUGAGCGUCUGACCUGGACGUUAUCUGGCGAGCCAUACUUGAGUGUAACUGGGGGAGGGGUGGCGUCAGACAUACAGAGAUCAACCUCAAUAGAGAAGAUUAACCAUGAACUAAUCAUCCUCUCUCUGUGUGCUUCAGGUGGUCUGUGUAUUUGCGUGCACAUGUGUGUGUGUAUGAGGCAAGCGGCAUGCAGCAAAACUCCUGCACUUUUCCGUAAUCCUGGUCUCCAAGCGUGAGCCUGCGAGCAGACUAAUCCGCCGUAUUUACGUAUUAAUAACCAGCCAGGCCACAAGAUCAUCAUUACACAUGGUGUUGUUGUAAGUUAAUCUCUCUAAAUGGGAUGCUUCAGCGCUACAUGACUCCAUGGGACAACCUGUGCAUGACUGAAAUGCGGAGAGAGGGCCAUAAAAAAACAACACAUUAACUUAUCAGCAAGCAUUAAAGCAUUAAAAUAAAUAAAUUAUGAGAAAAUGAAGAUGAUGUGACACUAAACAAUGACUUCUUCUGUUAAUCAGCAAUCAAGCUAAGUUAUCGGCCAAUGCCAUCUUACAAAACGACCCCAUAUCGACUCACAUCUUCAUAUCUAGCAGGAGACGGGAAUGAAUGGCUGUGAAUUCCAAAGGUCCAGCAUGGCACACUAGCCAUAAACGUCUAGACAUCCCCAGCGUCUGUAAGGCUAAAGAGAUUCUCCUUGAUUUAAUAGAUUUAUUAGGCUUUGAUUCGAUUAGGACAGAGAGAGGGCUCAGCUCUAAAUGACAGCUCAGGCAGAGGGCACACUGGCUGCACAGAGGCUAAAUUAAAGGGUAAGUACAGUCUGCCUCGGCUGCUUACCACAAGCCCAGACCCCUCUACCACUCUUCAGAGGUUUCACUUCAGCUAACGGCAUCCCUAAUCACUCUCAUUAUCUGAAAAGUAUCAGGUUUUUAGGCCAGUGAAACUUAAUUGUCAACGGUUUAAUUUUCCGCUUGUGUUGCGCUUUCUGACAGUGCUCUUUGGUGGUAAACGGUGUCAUGACUCGACCAAAAAUGUGGGUGGAAAAAGGUCAGAAAAUGGGAGACUCAGAAGAAACGAUGCCACAAAAAUGACAAGUGGAGGUAAAGAGACAACAGCAAUUCUCUCCAGCGUCCAGUCUCAAACAAGCCUGCACUUUUCCUGUUGUUCCUGCUGUCAUAGCAGAGCCAGAUUUUUUAUCUUAUCACCCUUUCCGAGUGCAUCUAAGCCAGAAAUGUGGAGAAAUGUUCAGAGCUAUGAAGAAAUGUGCUUAGUGGGUUGGGAGUGUAGGGUAAACAGGGUUUUCGAUGAGAAAAAAAGAAGACGCAUGUCCAGUUCAGAGUAAGGUCAGCAUUCAGGUGGAGGUUAGGAAUGCAUGCACAAACCAAAUCAUCCACCCACACACAAGACACACACACAGGCCAACCAUGUGAGUCUCACACGCUUAUCUCAUGGGUGCAUUCCCAUUCUCCACCAUUUCUGUUGCCCUCUUCAUUUCAUUCCUCUUUUUCUUCUGGUCUCUUUCUUACUGUCCUCUGCCUGUCAAAUGAUUGCUUAAUAGUGUUUCUCUUCUCCUUUUUUUUCACAUAACACAGAUUAAACUCUGGAAGAAUCUGACUUCCUUGUCAAAUGAAAAAAAAUAAACAAGUCUUCUAAAUCAGUGACAGAGACCUGAAGUCAUUCAGUUUCAGAGAAUUCAGGCAACAUGAGCAACUACUAUGACACAAAGCUGAGCAGAACUCAACUUUAUGCAAAUAUGCAGUGACACAACUACCAUUGAGAGUGCAGACAGUGAUCCUUAAAGGGGUUAGUUCAGCCAAACAUGACAAUUCUGUCAUCAUCUACUCAAUAUCAUGUUGUUCCAAACCUUUGCAUGUCAUAGGCCAAUUUCAAACUUCCGGGUUAGCCCACGCUGGGUAAACUUAUUUCCGGUAACAACGAUGGCUGAGCCUAACAAGAACCAAUUCGGGAAUCAAAGUCUUUGAGCAAAUUAAAUAUUAUGAAAAUGUUUGAACUAGCUAAAUUUAAGAACCAAUUCGAAAUGAUGGCACUUAACUUGGAUAUAUCUUUCUCCAUGUCUUUUUGGUGUGGCUGUGCAUUAUCAAACUCAAUGUAUCUUCAGAGCUUUUUGCGAUGUGCUGGGGAAAUCAUCGGCUGGCAACUUCCUUCUCACACAGACCUGAUACGCUGAAUCAUAAUGAGAAGACGAACCGUUCGCUCCCUGGACACGUAUCUGGACAUAUCAAUAAUAAAGGGCAACACUUCUGUCAUCUCUCAAUUAUAUUUCAUCUCAUUCACUCACAUAUGCUCCUGUAAUCAUCAUCUUAAAAUCUGUAAAUAUGCACACUAUUAACAAACCCAUUAGUAGUAGUAUUGUUGCUGAGGUACAUUUCAUAAUUGCACUGCUUACUAUUUAAGGCUUGUUCACACCAAGGAUGAUAACUGUAACAAUAAUGAUAAAGAUAUAGUCCUAAAAAUCUUUUAGAGUCCACACCAUAAUUAUAACGAUAACGAGAAACGAUAUCGAUGGAAUCACUUUCAGAAAGAUAUUUUUCAGCUGAAGAACGAUAAAAACAUUGACAGCCAAUCAGAAUCCAUCCUGCUUUAAAGAGCUUGAGCAUUUAAAGCAGCAGAAGACAAAACUGCAGCACGCUUAGAAUAAACAGAACGAAAUCCCCCGCUGGUGUUUUUCCGCUAAUGUAGUUACCUUCAUUCGUGUGAAUGGGUCUUAAUGCAGACUGUGAUUAAUGCAUGUUAUAUACAAAGUGGUCUUGGAAAUAAAUUAUGUCUUAGUUUUAUCAUUGUAAUGUCAGAAUCAGUUAAUAUAUGCCUGAAUGCAGGAUAUAAUGUUGUGAGAUUAAUACAUGCUGAUAUAUACACCGAUCAGGCAUAACAUUAUGACCACCUUUCUAAUAUUGUAUUGGACCCCUUUUUCUGCCAAAACAGCCCUCACCCAUUGAGGCAUGGACUCCACUAGACCCCUGAAGGUGUGCUGUGGUAUCUGGCACCAAGUUAGCAGCAGAUCCUUGAAGUUCUGUAAAUUGCGAGGUGGGGCCUCCAUGGAUCGGACUUGUUUGUUCAGCACAUCCCACAGAUGCUCGAUUGGAUUGAGAUCUGGGGAAUUUGGAGGCCAAGUCAACACCUCAAACUAGUCGUUGUGCUCCUCAAAUCAUUCCUGAAUCAUUUUUGCUUUGUGGCAGGGCGUAUUAUCCUGCUGAAAGAGGCCACAGCUACCAGGGAAUACGGUUUCUAUGAAAGGGUGUACAUGGUCUGCAACAAUGCUUAGGUAGGUGGUACGUGUCAAAGUAACAUCCACAUGGAUGGCAGGACCCAAGGUUUCCCAGCAGAACAUUGCCCAAAUCAUCACACUGCCUCUGCGGGUUUGCCUUCUUCCCAUAAUGCAUCCUAGUGCCAUGUGUUCCCCAGGUACGCGACGCACACGCACCCGGCCAUCCCCCACAUAAAAAAAAGAUUGUUAUAUAGAUUUGGAAAUGGCAUGGGGGUAAGUAAAUGAUGACAGAAUUUUAAUUUUUUGGGUGAACAAUCCCAUUUAGGCAUUACAAUUAUAUUUCUAGAUCUGUAUUUUUAAAAAUGAUUUGAGGUGGGCAUUGAUCACUCAGCAAAGUCUUACCAAAGCUUGAUUACUUGGUUUCUGAUAGUCUUAGCACAAUCAGAAUGGCAGGGUGGUGGGCCGGGCUGGCAGUGCCCUCUGAGGAGAGCGGAUGCCAGGCAGGAACAUGCAGAGGGGCCGUCUGUGCCAGUGAGGGCAGACUCAGGCUUUCAGCGGUCAUGAAUGAGGCUUAUUUAUCCCAGCGCGUGAAUAAGGCCAGUCAGUGAAAACAGCACAAAAGGAGACAGAGGCUCGUUGGCAUGCACACAGUGUUGCCUCAAAAGCAGUGUUGCAAGACUUUGGUAUUAGUGAGAGGCAUUGGAUGAAACAGAGAUCCAGUGUGUGACGGGAUCGUUUCAAAGCACUUUGUUUGCGAGAGAGAUCGUCUGAUUCUGUUAAUAUUGUAAUUAUAAUUUAACUUAUGCAGUGUUAAAAGUCUAAUUCCAUUGUCACGUUAGCAACAAUCACACUUAUCCUAAAGUUACAUGCACUUCCUUGUUUUUGUUUAGUUUUUUGUUGCUUUGUUGUUUUUUUGUUUUUGUUUUUGUGAGGGGGCAGGACCUUGGGGCUGUGCAUCCUGGGUGUUAUUUAUGAGAUGUGUAGCGGAAUUCCUGGGAGCCUGCAGCACCUGCUAUAGUUGGACGGGGAGCCGAGCGGCAGCUGCCGUACUCUGUAAGAGCAGAGAAAAUGUUGUGAAAGCACUGUGAUUAUGUUAUUUAAGUGUUAAGGGAGACCGGGAACAUUAAAGGACAUUGAAAAAGUGUUGUGGAUUUGUUCAGGGAAGCUGGAAGCUGCAGAAGAACUGUGAAAGCUUUGUGAGAACAAAAAGAUCUAACAACGUUUUCAAACACAUUAUGAAAGUGUGCCCAAAAUGUUAAGUGGAUCCUGGGAGUUUUUAAGAAUAAAGCAUGCACUGUAAACCCAAAUUAGUUGGCAAAACUCAAAGCAUUUUAGGCAAUUCAAAGUUUAAGUAAGCAGAACUGGCAGAUUUUUAUUUUGUACUCAUACAUUUUAAUUUAUUAAAUUAUUACAUUUUAUUUAUUAAAUUAUUAUAUAACCCCAAUGUAAACUUUUUUAUUAGUGUAAAAUUAGCUAGCUAUAAGAAGCUAAUUAAAAAAAUGCUAACUUGCUAAUUUGCUAACAUGUUAACAAUAGCAUGGUAUAGAGCUUGCUGAAUAAGUACAGCAAUAUAAAUCAUUUAACAUGCUUGCUCUCAAACCAAGCCGCAUGCACCACUUAUCACCAUUAUGGUAACUCUCCAAAAACCCACAUUAACAGAAAGUCUUCUAAAUUAGCCUAACAAAACAUUAAUCAUGACUAAAUCUCCCACUCAACAUUAAUCUUGCACAAAAAAACAUUAUAUAACACUUAAUUUUAGCAUUUACUCUCCAUUUCGAGUGCCAUUUUCAGUUAAACUUAAGUUCAUCUAAAUUCUAAAAGAAACAAGUUCAUAAAACUCAAAACAAUGAAAAAGUUCAGUUUACUUAAAAUAUAUCAGUUCUGUGAACUUGAAAGAAAAAGUGCUAAAUACUCAUAAAAGUUCAUUUGACUGAACUAAUUGUUAAUUUGCUUAAUUUAAUUUUGUCCUACUCAAACCAAUUAAUUAUUUUGAGUGUUAGGGUGUACAGUGUGUAGCUGAGCUAAAGAAUAAAGAAAGACAAUUAAAUUAAUAAAGAUAAUACUUUAAGGUUCAAUUUGUUAAAAUUGUUUAAUGCAAAGUUAAUUUUUACAAAAACACUAUUGUUGAUUGUUCAUUUUUGUUCAUAAAAUAUUCAAUGUUAAUUCAUACUACAACUUGAAAUGUUAAAAUGUAUUAGCAUAUGUAGAAACUAACCUUGAUUAAUAAAUACUGAAAAUGUGCUAUUCAUAAUUGAACCAUAUUGUAAAAUGUUUCCAAAACUAGUAAUAAAUAAAUAUUAAACGCUAAUAGGUAAACAUGCACUUCACAUGAAGUGUAAACAUCAAAAAAAUAAAAAUAAACCGACGAGUAACUUUCCUAUUUUUUGCCGACGUUUGGACUCAAGUUCAGUCAUUACUUCUUGUCAGUGUUGUAACCAGGUAAACAGAGCACACAGGUGAACAUAGCAAGGUCAGCGUUUGUUUUGACUGCAAACACCUGAAUCAGGACAGGUGGACUUUAAUCUGCCAGUUUGGACAGAGAGCAUCAUCGCCAACACAGCUAAAGCACACAACGAACAAAAAACACAUUAGCACCUGAAUGCUGUAGCAUCUGCUGGGUGAAAUCAGUUCCACUAAAAGUGACCAAAAACACGAGACCAUCCUUAAAAUCAACCAUCAAGGUUUUAGUGAAUUUACUGGUCUUAUAAUGCAUGAUUCAUUGUUGUGUGUCAUUCUAAAUUAAAAAAUAUAUAUUUGUAAUCUUCAGUCAAAAUGCAAUAAAUUGCUCUGACUCAAUUCAAUCAAUUCCUGAUAAAUAAUAUUAACUUUUUGUCAUUAAUUAUUAUAUUUCACUCAGAAAUACAUAACAUUAUAGAAGUAAAAUAGAUUGCAAAUGUCAUUUCAGUUUCAAGUAGAAUGCCAAGAUAUUAACCACCAAUCGGUUCAAGGCACAGAACAAAAUUAUUACACAAGACAUUUAUUUGCUCUUGAUGUCUAACCCCAGUUCAGUAUCAGGUAACUAUCAGGUAAACUUGGCAAGGCCAAAUACUGUGUACUGCAAAUACAGGAGGGAUACCACUCCUUGCACUGUGAUUGGCUGAAAUAUAGAGUGGGAAGCUCUGAUACCAUCAGGUACCAGGUGCAGACGGACAGCAGGGGUGGGGGAGUCUGACAGCACCAGCAGAGGUGAACGCUCACAGCUUAAAAAAAUGUCCAGAUCACGUAGAGCGAGAGCAUGAAACCAAAUCUGGUUCACAUUAGGGCAGUUUUACAAAGGAAAUGUUGCAAUGACAUCCCCUCAACCUCGCACGGGACCCCAGGAUAAUUAUUACUAGUCGAGGUGAGAAAUUCCCGGGAUGCCAUUUAACACAUGGACAGAUGACAUCAGAGGAAAUCUGUGGGGACCUGAGGCAAACAUAUGGAGCUGGAGAGCAGAAACAAACAGUUUACUAAACACCACUUAAACAUAUUCAUCAUCACAUGUCAAGCCAACACACACAAGCAUGUUUAAUGCUUCCUAACAGAUCACAUAGACCCUUAAGAAACAUUUUAAUUGGGGUGACAGCAUCUUGUUUUAUUAUAUUUUGUGUACGAGAGGCUGUGAUACAUCACAAAGUGAUACAUUAAUAAAACACAGACCAUACAUUUCUUCAUACAGGGUAUAAAUGACCAAUGCAGCAUUUUUUUCUGUUUUUCGCAAAGGCUACACUUUUCGCCCCAUCAUAUCUUUCUAGAUGUUUACCAGUGUUGACGGUCGCUGUGGCAGAAAGCCUUUCACAAUCUGACUAAUAAACACACUCAUAGUAUGACCUAACAUGCUACUUCUCCAGGGAGUUCAGAUGGACAAGGACACACACACACACACACAGAUCUCCAGGGAGCCUUGGAUAGAGACGCAUUACGAGUACCCCCUCAAAUCAUAACGCAUCAAACCCUGCAGAGCUCCUCAGAACCUCAGAGAACAGAGAUCUCACGCUGCCUCCCAGCAUCCCUGACAUUUCAUACAUCACUUUGAUAGAUCACCUUAUCAGUGCAGCCGCUCGCCGGCAUAAGAGCUGUAUUCAUAAGGCCAUGCGAGCCUUUGAGCUGAUAAAAGUAUACAGCAUAUUCAUCAUUAUCUUCUUAGCAUUGUUUUGAUGUGAUAAGGGCUGAAAGCAUUAAAUGAGGAUGCAUUAUUUCUAGCUGUAAUUUCACUUUCUGAUGCAACAGGGCUGCAAAUGUUGAAAAUGGAACGGUGACGGCUGAAGGUGUGUUGAUACUCUUUAGGAGCUGUUUCUGUGCGAAAAGAGACUGCCAUGUCUUUUGGAUCAAUCAGGAGAUAUUGCAGGUUGUUGCCUAUUAUAGAUGCAAUAUAGGGAUGAUGGGAUUGGAUGUGAAGGUAAAGCUGGUAAGAUUAAAGAAAUGAAAAAUAUAGCUUUUCGUUUUUAGCAGAGGUUCUUUAUACACAGGGGGUGAAGAUAAGAAAAACACUCUAGGUGGUGAUAAGACUUCCAUUGCUCAUCCUUUACUAUGUCCAUAUAAUGCAUUGAACAGAAUGGUUUUAGGUAGAUUUUUUAUUUUAGGGGGGGGGGGGCAAGGCUAAGGAAUAGUAUACAGGUAAGCAGAUUACACCUCUUCAGGGUGAUACAAGACCCUACUUAAACAGAAAAUAUUAAUUUUGCAUAUUUUUUUUCCUCAAGAUAA